AUGAAGGGGUUCAGCAUGGGGUGAUCACCGUGUACAUCACUGAGGCCACUGCAGCCUUUCUCGGGGAAGAUGACACAUCUGAACUGAAGUACCCUCCAACGCCCGUUCCGUAAAAUCAGCAAACAACUGACAGGUGAGACCCACAGGUGGAGAAGGCCUUAUACUGCCCACGUGAUGAUGAAACACUCAGAAUGGAGGAAACAAUUUUAUAGUAAGAGAAAAGGGUCCCAGAGAUGGGAAGAAAACCAAAUAUGACAGCAGGGAAAUACAUGAUUAUGUUAUUGGUGAAGGUGUCACAACAUGCAAGAUGGGGGAGUUGAGAAGGGUCACAGAAGAAAUUAGGAAUUUCCGCAUCCUGGAAGCAGGUCAUUUGUAAGGCAAUCAAGUUGUGCAACUGGGCGUCUAAAACACUGAGAAAAAAAAA
rnacentral:lncRNA from 1 species